UUGGAGGGCAAGUCUGGUGCCAGCAGCCGCGGUAAUUCCAGCUCCAAUAGCGUAUAUUAAAGUUGUUGCAGUUAAAAAGCUCGUAGUUGAAUUUCGGAGUUUGUCGGUUGGUCGGGCUUCAUUGUCCGCACUGGCCUGAUGGAUUCCUACCUUCUGAAUAACCAGCAUGCUAUUAAGUUAGUGCGUUGGGGAAGCAGAGCUAUUACCUUGAAAAAAUUAGAGUGCUUAAAGCAGGCUUAUGCUUGAAUAGAUUAGCAUGGAAUAAUAAAAUAGGACGGCAUGGUUCUAUUUUGUUGGUUUCUAGGAUCACCGUAAUGAUUAAUAGGGAUAGUUGGGGGCAUUAGUAUUCAAUUGUCAGAGGUGAAAUUCUUGGAUUUAUUGAAGACUAACUUCUGCGAAAGCAUUUGCCAAGGAUGUUUUCAUUAAUCAAGAACGAAAGUUAGGGGAUCGAAGACGAUCAGAUACCGUCGUAGUCUUAACCAUAAACUAUGCCGACUAGGGAUCGGACGAUGUUAAUUUUUAAUGACUCGUUCGGCGCCUUACGGGAAAC
rnacentral:rRNA from 1 species